rnacentral:tRNA from 8 species
GCCCAGAUGGUGAAAUUGGUAGACACGCUAGACUUAGGAUCUAGUGCCUUUGGCGUGGAGGUUCAAGUCCUCUUCUGGGCACCA